ensembl:lncRNA
CUUCACCUCUGGACUGUGGAGGAGGGAGUGGCAUUGAACAGAAAGGAGGGUGUGUGACGGCCAGAGAAGGAGCUUUCUGCUUUCACGCGUUGCCAAGCAGUGAAAGAGUGUCUGUCACAGAGGACAAGCAAAGAGACAGAGCGGAAAAGUUGGACAAGAAAGAAAGAGACAAAGGGAGAAAGCUGGUUAGAGAGAAGAGAGCUGAAAAGAGCUCCUAUCUACCGUCCCACCCCCUGAUCUUCCUCCUCUCAGCUCAGACGGGAAGAAGAAAAAAAGGAAAAAGGAGUGCAGAGAGAGAGAGAGGUAGAGCUCAGCCUCGCUCGCUCUUUAGCGCAGGACUCAGGAAUUUCCAGGACCUUUGGAGUUGUGAGCGCUCACAUGCACACGCUGCUUUUCUCGUGGUGAUACGAACCUGAGCAGAGAGGCAGUGAAAAGGAAAGAAAAGAAGGCGAGGGAAUGAGUGAAUAACCAGCUCCUCCAGUGGACUAUCUGGCCAACGAUGGCACCUGCCGAGGAGAAAGUGAGUCAGAGGAGCUGCUGAUGAAGAACUCCUGCAUCAAAUCUUCUUUUCUUGUCUCUCGAAGCUUUCAGACGUGUUGACUCUUCUGGAAAUGAAGUGAGCUGAGGAUAAGGGGAUUUGUUACCAAUCCCAUCUGUCAUCUUCCUAAGUGGUCUCAAAUCCCAGCCUGUUGGAUUAUUCACCACUUCUAGGAGAGGAUAAUGACUGAAGCUGUUUAGUUACAGGUUUCACUUUUUACUGCUCAGCUAUCACCCAAACCUGGCUCCAUCCCAGAAGAAACGACGUGGAGAAACCUGAGCAGCUGCUGCUAAGAGUCAGAUCAUUUCUCCCGUUAACUCACCAUCAAGCAGAUAAACACAACGCUCUAAAAACAUGUCGGAGAAUUCCUUUCCUGCCUGGAAAAUGGAUUUCUCCGAAGCACAGAC